GCGUGUGUGUGUGUGUGUGCAGACGCCAGCCGUGAGCCUGAACUCCUCCUCAUGCAGCGUGAGUGAGUCUGCAGCCGGUGGGCAGGCGUCAGGGCAGAAGCAGCUGGAGAAGCGUCUGCUGGAGAUCCCCGUGCCCACUGCUGUACCCCCCACGCUCAGCUUCAUGCCCUCGACCGCCAGUCAUGAGUUCCUGUACCUGCUGGGGCUGGAGGAGGCGGUGCAGCGGCUGCUGGAGGGGGCGGGGCCAGGUUGUCCUGCAGGUGUGUGUGUGCCGCUCUGCUGUUCUCUCUGUCACACAGACUUCAGCAGCCGCUGGAUCAGGGAUGAUGCGGGUGUGUUGCGCUGCGAGCGGUGUGUGUGUCGCGCACAGAAGCAGCGGCUGAAGGAGGAGCACACACACCGGCUGCAGGCGGUGCUGACCAAGCUGUCCUCAUCAUCAUCCUCAUCCUCACCUGCGCAGGUGAAGUGCUCUCCGUCUUCAUCCUCCUCCUCGCUCCGCCUCCAGCAGGUGUCUGCUCAGUCCUCUCGGCUGCAGAGCGCAGUAAUGGCCGCUGCUCUGGUCAACAGGCCAGGUGAGGGUCAGCAGGGGUCAAAGGUCAAACACACAGACUCUCACACUGUGCAUUUAUCCUCAUCAUCAGUGCUUCAUCUUAUUAAUUUACAACAACUC